rnacentral:rRNA from 1 species
GAUGAACGCUGGCGGCGUGCUUAACACAUGCAAGUCGAACGGAAAGGCCCCUGCUUGCAGGGGUACUCGAGUGGCGAAUGGGGGAGUAAUAUGUGGGUGAUCUGCCUCGCACUUCUGGAUAUGCCUGGGAAACUGGGUCUAACACUGGUAAGGAAUACGGCCUGGAUGCCAUUGUGGAAAGUUUUUCGGUGUGGGAUGAGCUCGCGGCCUAUCAGCUUGUUGGUGGGGUAAUGGCCUACCAAGGCGUCGACGGGUAGCCGGCCUGAGAGGGUGUACGGCCACAGUGCGACUGAGAUACGGCCCAGAGUCGUACGGGAGACAGCAGUGGGGAAUAUUGCACAAUGGGCGCAAGCCUGAUGCAGCGACGCCGCGUGGGGGAUGACGGCCUGCGGGUUGUAAACUCCUUUCGCUAGGGACGGAGCGCAAGUGACGGUACCUGGAGAAGAAGCACCGGCUAACUACGUG